AGGACGAACGCUGGCGGCGUGCUUAACACAUGCAAGUCGAGCGGAAAGGCCCUUCGGGGUACUCGAGCGGCGAACGGGUGAGUAACACGUGAGUAAUCUGCCCCUAGCUCUGGGAUAGCUCCGGGAAAACCGGGAUUAAUACCGGAUACGGACCACUUUAGACAUCUGUUGUGGUGGAAAGAAUUUUGGCUAGGGAUGAGCUCGCGGCCUAUCAGCUUGUUGGUGGGGUAACGGCCUACCAAGGCGACGACGGGUAGCCGGCCUGAGAGGGCGACCGGCCACACUGGGACUGAGACACGGCCCAGACUCCUACGGGAGGCAGCAGUGGGGAAUAUUGCGCAAUGGGCGAAAGCCUGACGCAGCGACGCCGCGUGGGGGAUGAAGGCCUUCGGGUUGUAAACCCCUUUCAGCAGGGACGAAGCGAAAGUGACGGUACCUGCAGAAGAAGCGCCGGCUAACUACGCGCCAGCAGCCGC
rnacentral:rRNA from 1 species